rnacentral:rRNA from 1 species
AAACCAACAGGGAUUGCCCCAGUAACGGCGAGUGAAGCGGCAACAGCUCAAAUUUGAAAUCUGGCCCCCCGCGGGUCCGAGUUGUAAUUUGCAGAGGAUGCUUUUGGCGAGGCGCCGCCCGAGUUCCCUGGAACGGGACGCCGCAGAGGGUGAGAGCCCCGUCUGGCUGGCCGCCGAGCCUCUGUAAAGCUCCUUCGACGAGUCGAGUAGUUUGGGAAUGCUGCUCAAAAUGGGAGGUAUAUGUCUUCUAAAGCUAAAUAUUGGCCAGAGACCGAUAGCGCACAAGUAGAGUGAUCGAAAGAUGAAAAGCACCUUGAAAAGAGGGUUAAACAGUACGUGAAAUUGUUGAAAGGGAAGCGCUUGUGACCAGACUCGGGCGCGGCGGAUCAUCCGGGGUUCUCCCCGGUGCACUCCGCCGCGUCCGGGCCAGCAUCAGUUCGCCGCGGGGGAGAAAGGCCUCGGGAACGUGGCUCCCCCGGGAGUGUUAUAGCCCGUGGCACAAUACCCUGCGGCGGACUGAGGACCGCGCUAUACGCAAGGAUGCUGGCGUAAUGGUCACCAGCGAC